rnacentral:lncRNA from 1 species
AAGGGACCUGGGUAGGGAGGUAUGCACAGGAGAAGGUUUCAGAAGACCUUGUAAUGGUCCCCAUGAAGCUCUGUGAGGGGAUGAGCUUACUGGAGCAGCAGAGAGGAGGAAAAU